rnacentral:rRNA from 1 species
UACGUAGAAGGCUAGUGUUAGUUAUCAUUAUUGGGUUUAAAGGGUGCGCAGGCGGAUAUGUAAGUCAGUGGUGAAAUCUCCGGGCUUAACCCGGAAACUGCCGUUGAUACUAUAUAUCUUGAAUGCUGUGGAGGUAAGCAGAAUAUGUCAUGUAGCGGUGAGAUGCUUAGAGAUGACAUAGAAUACCUAUUGCGAAGGCAGCUUACUACGCAGAUAUUGACGCUCAUGCACGAAAGCGUGGGGAUCAAACAGG